UUCUGCGGCGGUGUAGGCUUUAGAAUAUGCCUAAAUGCGGCCAACUUUAAUCUUGCGCUGAGAUUCCUUUAAUAAUGAAAGAAAAAAAUCAUUUUGAAAAUAUGGAUAUUAAAUAUCACAACGAUGGAGCAGGAAUUCAACUUUUUUUUUAUUUUUACUAAAAAAUAUCUUAAAAGAAAACUUGGGAUUGAGUGUGUGAGGCGAAACACUUGUCACUAUAACCUCUGAGAUCUAAAAGCAGGUAAGCCACUGACUAACGCACAUUGUGCCAGUUGCCAGUUCCACUGUGCGUGUGACAGCGGCUAACCUGGUUUUUGGGAAUACCGCUCACUCCGCCUCGCCUCCAGACCAGCUUCAGCCGGACAAGGCUGACACCUAUAUGUACAUGCUGUUCUUUAUCAUGUCCUGUGCGCUGCUGGGAAAGGCCCGAUCCACUCGAAUGCCCUCCCAGUGGUCUCCACUUGUACUGAGGCGAACUUCCUCCUGUGCUGACAUACCUUAUUUAGGACCCAGGUGGCUUUUUUGCUUUGCCAUCGGUUGUGGCUGUUGGUGAGUUGCGUUUCAGUUUCUUUUUCAUAAUUGUGGGAUUGAUCAGUUUUCUUCUCAGCAAUGACAAAAGUUUGGGGUCUCUGGGUCUCCAGAAGGCGAGGUUAUUGUCACAUCAGUGGAAGGUUUUGAUAUGAGCGAAAUGGGUUUUCGUCUAGGGCUGGGUGGAGUGUGAAGAGGACGAUGCAGUUAAAAUAGUUAUUUUGUCAAAAAUUAGAUUGAUGUCCAAUUCUUGUCUUAUGAUUCUGUGGUAAUAAAAGGGCUAUGUCAGUGUUUUCUUUUUUUAAUGCAUCAGGAAUUUUUGGUAUAAUUUUCUUUAGUACAAGAAAUACUAAACAAUUCUGGUACAUAAAAAUACUGUUUAGUCCGAAAAUUGAAUUUUUUUAUUUUUUUUUGCUCUGAACAUUGAUUCUAUACAGCCAGCCCAAUUUGAGAUUUGUGAAAACUUUACUCUUUUUUUUGUUUUUGGGGAGGGGACUCAUUUUAAAACACUGCUUUUAAUACUUCCAUAGCACGAGAACUCGCCUAAUUUGAGACACAGCCUAAAUGCACGAAUCUGGACUGUAUCUACACUAAGUACAGUUUCUUUAAAGCAGACUUUGUGAGGGCAGCGGUAGAGCGGACCCAUCUGAAGAAGCCGUCAGGCUUCGGCACAGCCAUGUGGGGUUCAACUCCUGACCUCAGGAGCUUCGCUGGAAGUUUUUACUCUUGUUUCCCCAUCUUAUCUGAAUUCUCCAAAUAAAGACCACUGAUGAUAUAUUGAUUUAUGUAAAAGAGUAUAGUUUUCACAAAAUCUAUCUAAAUCUCUUUAAAAUGUAUCAGUCAAGACCAUCCAAAUGCUCUAAUAUAUGACGUUUUUUUGUCUUUGGUUGUGUGUGGGGUGGGGGCUUGCCCAGGGUGCCAUCCAUGCUUGUUCCACAAAAGCGCUGAAGUUAACUUCAGAAUGUAGUUUUUUUUCCUGACUUUUGAAUUCAUGUAAAAGAAUAUUCACUUAAUUUCUGAGCAACGUCAUAUCGUUUGUGCAUAAAGUGUAUUUGUAUGCGCAUAAAGUGAGAAGUAAAGUUGUGACUUAAACAUU